GCCGAAGUGGCGGAAUGGCAGACGAGCUAAGGUCAGGACGGAGUAGCCGUAAGGGGGUGCGGGUUCAAAUCCCUCCUUCGGCG
rnacentral:tRNA from 1 species